rnacentral:ncRNA from 1 species
GGCUGAUCUAAAGCAUGUCUCCCAAAAGUGUGCAGCGGUUUUGGGACAAAGACAUGUUUAAAAACAAAGAUCUAAAGCGCGUCGCAUGAAUCAGAUUAAACGCGAUGCGCUUUAGUUUUCGAGCUUUUUGAAUAGCUCUUCGAAAUCCUCCGGGUCGGUGUCGAUCCGGAGGAUUUUUUUACGC